CGGACGACACAAAACACGAGUCACCUUGUUGCAAUAGUAGGGGUCCAGGCAGGGGGAAGGUCCCAAACAAGGCGUAUCAGGAGCGGCUGCAGGCUGAGGAGGUGGCGAAUAAAAUCUUACGUCCAUUUCACUAAAACAUCAAGCAAACUCCUUUCCUUUUCUUUUGGUCGUUAAUGUAGGUGCAAAAAAGGGGGAUGUAAGAGUGUGUGUGUGUGUGUGUGAGUGUGAGUGUGUGUGUGUGUGUGUGAGAGAGAGAGGGGGGGACACACAAGACUGAGAAGAAUAAAAAAAGAGGUGCCUGACUUCAGUAGUCAAACACCUUCCCUGCCUCACAUCCGUUUGUGGUUUGUAAAGAGAGAGAGAGGAGAGGAAAAAAAAUCUCUUCCAAAAAAGCACCGGUCUGCAGAUGUCUGCAAGAGAACCCACGAACCCUCCUUCUUCUACGGCAGGGCAGCAGUUGGCAGGAGUACCAGUUGGAGGGAAUGAAUCAUCUACAUUGGCUGUUCAUCUUUAAAAAUUGACUCUUCAGUAGCGUGUAAUAGAAGAAAAAAUCUCUAUUGAAUGUGCAAUGGAAGCAAAUGUUUUUUCAGUUCAGCAGUUUCUGCUGAAUUGUAAACAAUCGGGUUGUUUCAAAAGGAGAGUAGCACGGUCCGUAAUUCCGACAGCUAGUAGUAGUUUAGUUUACUGCUUCUACCACCUGCCUGCUGACUUAAUAUUGGAAGCAAGAAGCAUGCAAUUAAGUAUGAGGAAAUGAAAAUAAAUGACACUGUUCAUUGCACAUUACAAAGUGCCUGGCAGAAAGAACGCAGCUUGCCUGGACCUGAUGACCCCAGGGGAAUACAUGUCUCAUGCCUGGGAAAGCGCCAGCGAAUCAGACACUGACCCUGACUUUAUCUACUCUCAAAUGCAUUGGGUUCCUUCUUAGCAAUUUGAAACUUUUUUUUUUAAUUAUAAUUGAGUUCUGAAAAGCAGGGAGAUAUAACAUGAAACAUGUACUGAGUGUGUGGUAGAAGCUGCAGGACACCAAACGUGCUGGAGUAUUUUCUUUAUCAUUUCUUGAGAAAAGUUAUUUGGAUUACAUCCUGAAUUGGACUAAUUUGAACUGGUUAUUAAAUUCUAAGGUUUCUAGAGGUGAAGAGGUUUUUGAAAGAUUACUUCCAUCUAUGCAGCAGUAUUGCAUUCACUGCAAUAUUACUGGGUAUAUAACUCAAAACCUCACCUCAUUCCAGAAUCUGAGUUCUUAAAACCUGUUUCAUUUUAAAAUGUCUGUUUUGUGAAUGCUUUACUCUUUUUCCUAUAUAUGGCUUAUACAGUGGUUAGAACACAAAGUAAUAAUUGUAUUUAUGUCAUUUCUCUUAAAUUGUCUAUGCAUCUUUACAGAGGUAAGUAAAUGCUAUCCUGAUAGCAUUUACCUGAAGAAACUGCACCAUAGAGAAAUCUGAUGGCUUGCUCAGAACAUGUAACAGAUAAAACAGUAGUCGAAAGUGAGAUAACCAGCUGUACAAGAAAAUAAAGGUUUUCACAUAAAUCACGUUAUUUUGCUACAGGAGUCAAAUAUGUCUUUUUUUAGAUGAAUGUAGAUGCAUUACAAAUGAAUUAACACGAUUACUGUAAUGCAUUAAUUCAGCACUACUGUCUGAUUUAGAUGGCCAUGUAUAAAUAGUGGGGAAACUUUCAUAAUGAAAGCAGAAGCAAGUAGGGAUUUUCAUGUGUUCAUGAUCUGGUAAAAAGAUAGAACUCAGAUGAGAUAUGGCAAAAUUUGUAGACUUUUCAGUGAAGCUAAAUAGCCAGAGAAUCUUAUAGAACAGAUAAUUUCAGGUAGAAAUGGUGCCAAGACUUGGUGGUUUUUAAUGAUUUCAUCUUGAAGAAAAGAGCAUCUUGGUAGCUUGAUAGGUAUUGUUUUGAGUAUAAUUUUUUUCAGUCCAUAACCCAAAGUAAAACUCAAGGGUGCAAACUCAGAAGGAAUUGAAACCUUUUCGGGAGUCACAGACCCUCCAUUCCAAAACCACCAACUUUCACUUUUCUGGCUGUAUGCAAGUACAUUGAUCUUCUUUUUCUUAAAUGUUGUAUACACCUCUGUAGAAGGAUUUUUUUUCAUAUUUCAACCAAAUUUUAGGUAAGUUCUUCGCAUUCUAUGAAAGGUAGUCUUCUUUACUGCACUUCUUCACAGGGCUUUUUAGACCCCAGUAGGAAAAAAAGGGUAUUUGGAUGUCAGUCAUUGAGUCUCUGUGAGGUAAAAAUCAUGUGUUUCAGAUGUGCUUUCUAUCCCUAGUCCUGCACAACAUGAAAUAUGGUUGACAGCUAUAUUACCACACUGCAGAUUGCAAAGCAAUUCACAUUCACACUUCUAAGUGCCUCUCCUUUCAAGACUUAUGGAUGUAUGCCAAAUUACUUGCAUUGUGGUAUAUGGCCUUCUAUAUGUACUUUAUAGAAUAGGUCUCUGGUUUCCAUUAAAAUCAAUGAAGUAGAGACCAAAAGAGCUUUUCUGAAAUGUUUACUAGAUGUCAGACAAGGUUAAUAAUAAAAUAGUUCAUGUAUAAUAUGCAUCUUCAAUAUAUUUCUGUGUUUAUGUUUAAGAAGAUAUUUUCUGAAUUUAGGAUGGAAGUUCCUCAGCUAAAUUUAAAUGUUGAGUAGCGUUAAGUUCAGCUGUCAUUGUUUGCUCCCCGUUAGUGUCUCUGUAAAAAAUGAAUAUAUGAUUUCAUACCCUAUUUAGGGAAGUGCUUCCAAACAUAAUGGACCAGUAGCCAUUUAAGGACUCUAAGGUCUUGUGCUAACAAAAUCAUUAUGGUUAUCUCAAAUGAAAUGGGAAAGACAGAAGAUGCCCUCCAAUGCCAUUUCUUCUAGAAAAAUCAGUGACUGUGCCAUGUCAUAAAGCCUCGUUAUUAGUCACUAUUUCAUUACAGCAGUUCUUUGUCAGACAAGUUAAAGUGAAUGAUCAGCAGUGAUAGUAUAAUAAUAUGAUUAAUUUAUUAAUAAUCAUUAAAAUAUUAGUGUGAUUGUUUUCAUGCAUAUUACUAUGGUAAAUGAGGCAAAAUGGUGGGGAUUAAAAAUAAAGACCUGUGACAAACAUUACAGUGACAAACUGAAUUUUGGGGGAGAGAAGAAAAGAGAGAGAUGCUCUAAAGUUAUCUGAGUGAAAUAUGGACUCAAGUGAAUUUAAUCAGUGUGUUGAAAAUUGGCUUAAAGUGUGAGGAAAGACAUUAAAAUGAGUGUAUGAUGGUGGAGGGAGGGUACAUUUCACCUUUCUAUUUUUUUUUCAAUUAUAUUAUUUAAGUUUCCCUUAGGACUACAGUACCUAGAAGAA